rnacentral:rRNA from 1 species
UAGGGAAUCUUCGGCAAUGGACGAAAGUCUGACCGAGCAACGCCGCGUGAGUGAAGAAGGUUUUCGGAUCGUAAAACUCUGUUGUUAGAGAAGAACAAGGACGUUAGUAACUGAACGUCCCCUGACGGUAUCUAACCAGAAAGCCACGGCUAACUACGUGCCAGCAGCCGCGGUAAUACGUAGGUGGCAAGCGUUGUCCGGAUUUAUUGGGCGGAAAGCGAGCGCAGGCGGUUUCUUAAGUCUGAUGUGAAAGCCCCCGGCUCAACCGGGGAGGGUAAUUGGAAACUGGGAGACUUGAGUGCAGAAGAGGAGAGUGGAAUUCCAUGUGUAGCGGUAAAAUGCGUAGAUAUAUGGAGGAACACCAGUGGCGAAGGCGGCUCUCUGGUCUGUAACUGACGCUGAGGCUCGAAAGCGUGGGGAGCAAACAGG